rnacentral:rRNA from 1 species
ACUAGAGUAGCACUCGCAUAUCAAUAAGCGGAGGAAAAGAAACUAACAAGGAUUCCCCUAGUAACGGCGAGUGAAGCGGGAAGAGCUCAAAUUUGAAAUCUUAAAGGGUUUCCCUUUACGAAUUGUAGUUUAAAGAAGUGUUUUCUGUUGAGGUUUUGGUAAAAGUUCUUUGGAAUAGGACAUCAUAGAGGGUGAGAAUCCCGUAUUUGACCUUUACUUUCAACUUUGUGAUACACUUUCAAAGAGUCGGAUUGUUUGGGAAUGCAGUCCAAAAUGGGUGGUAAAUUUCAUCUAAAGCUAAAUAUUGGCGAGAGACCGAUAGCGAACAAGUACCGUGAGGGAAAGAUGAAAAGAACUUUGAAAAGAGAGUUAAACAGUACGUGAAAUUGUCAAAAGGGAAGCGUUUGACACCAGUGUUGUUUUUCUGAAAAUCAAUUAAAGAACUGUUUAUGCUAAGUUGUUUAGACUUUAUCAGCUAUCUGUUUAGUUUUGAGCUUUUCUUUAAUGCACUUUUCAGUUAACAAGUCAACAUCAAUUUCUUUUGCUGUAAAAAAGCUUGAGGAAGGUGGCUUGAGAUUCGUCUUAAGUGUUUAUAGCCUCUUGCCUAUGCAGUCGGAGAGAUUGAGGUCUGCAGCGUAGAUCCUUCGGGGCUAAAUGCAUUUGUGCUAAGUUAUAGCAUUUUAUAGACAACUUGUUGACUAUGAUUUGUCUUGUAGCUUACUCGCUUAUGUUAUUUUACCUACGCUUAGGAUGUUGAGCGCAUGUCUCUCUCU